rnacentral:rRNA from 1 species
UACGUAGGGUCCGAGCGUUGUCCGGAAUUACUGGGCGUAAAGAGCUCGUAGGUGGUUUGUCGCGUUGUUCGUGAAAACUCACAGCUCAACUGUGGGCGUGCGGGCGAUACGGGCAGACUAGAGUACUGUAGGGGAGACUGGAAUUCCUGGUGUAGCGGUGGAAUGCGCAGAUAUCAGGAGGAACACCGGUGGCGAAGGCGGGUCUCUGGGCAGUAACUGACGCUGAGGAGCGAAAGCGUGGGGAGCGAACAGG